rnacentral:rRNA from 1 species
UACGUAGGGUGCAAGCGUUGUCCGGAAUUAUUGGGCGUAAAGGGCUCGUAGGCGGUUUGUCGCGUCGGGAGUGAAAUCCACUGGCUUAACUGGUGGCUUGCUUUCGAUACGGGCAGACUGGAGGUAUGCAGGGGAGAACGGAAUUCCUGGUGUAGCGGUGAAAUGCGCAGAUAUCAGGAGGAACACCGAUUGCGAAGGCAGCUCGCUGGAACGUUACUGACGCUGAGACGCGAAAGCGUGGGGAGCAAACAGG